AGGGUCAAGUGAGGUAAGGGCGCAUGGUGGAUGCCCAGGCACCUGGAGCCGAUGAAGGACGCGGCAAGCGGCGAAACGCCCCGGGGAGCCGCAAGCGGGCGUUGAUCCGGGGAUCUCCGAAUGGGGAAACCCGCUUGGGGUAAUACCCAAGCAUCCGCUGAUGAAUCCAUAGUCAGCGGAGGGGAACCGGGCGAACUGAAACAUCUUAGUAGCCCGAGGAAAAGAAAGCAAAAGCGAUUCCCUAAGUAGCGGCGAGCGAAAGGGGAGAAGCCCAAACCUACCGCUUAGGCGGUAGGGGUUCGGGCCCACCGCAAAAGUGUGCGAGUACUCUAGGCGAACGGACCUGGAAAGGCCGGCCAUAGAGGGUGAAAGCCCCGUAGCCGAAAGGGGAAAGCGCACUGGUGGGUACCAGAGUACCACGGGAUAGGCGACCCUGUGGGAAGGC
rnacentral:rRNA from 1 species